ACCAAACCUUUUAACUUUUUUUUUUCUGAUUAAUUUCCUUUUAUUUUUAUAGAUCGGUCCCUGCUACGUGUCACCCUUCCCCAACAGAUGAAAUCUUCCGCCGCUUCACAUCUGCUUGCCACGAAUCUCUUUCCACCGUCUGUGCAAUUUAGUUGGCCCCUUUUCUACUUCUAUUUUGUUCUGGAUCCCUUCACCGCCAUUCUUCCGAUCUAACCCAUCUCGCUGCUCACUCUAUACACUGCACCUUCUCUCCACCGUUUCUCGACCUUGCUGUUCCGGUGAAGCAACUACUGAUGACGAUCGAUUCACUGUCUUCACAAAAUCGACUAGAAAAUCGAUCCCAAAGUUCCUCUUCACAAAACCGACCAGAAAAUCGAUCCCAAAGUUCCUCAAUCAAGCGAGCGUCGGAAGAAGACCGACUCAAAGAUUUCCCUCACUGACCCCUUUGCUUCAAUCACCGAAUUCCAGGUUCCAAAGAUUUUG